CCCUAAUCCCGUCCCUCUCUCUCUCUCUCUCUCUCUCUCUCUCUCUCUCUCGGCUGCCUUCGGCUCUCUCCAGCAGCAGCAACUCGAUAACCCAUCAGGUUCUUGCAGAGGAAAACCAUCGUGAAAUUGUGGAAUUCUGCAUUAAGGAAGGCUUGGUUCUUCAGCACAUGAAUUUGGGCUACUAGACUGAAUCUCAUGGAGGGGAAUUCUCAUACCUUGAUGCCAUGAUGAGGGAGUCUUGUUUAAUCUAUAGUGGUUGUGGAAGUGAUAAGUUCUCAUAUCAGGCCCCAUUGACAUGCCUUUAUCCACCAUCUCAUACUUUGUGGAUGCAUCUCUCUCUCCAUUCCUUAACAUUGGAAGUUCCUUUUUGCUCAAUGAAAAGAUUGAAGUUUGACUAUUUCUUAAGAAGAAAGGAUAUUCAACUAAUGAUAGCGCAAGUUAAAAGAGUUGGGAAUCAAGUCCAAGUUCUCUCACUUCUCCAUCCCAAUGUUGCUCUUGUUAGAAGGCUGCCUUUUGAAUGAUAGAGACAGAGCGAUGUCCAUGGGUUUGGAGUUUUGCUGCUGGAGCUCUUAACUGGGCUGAAACCUUUUGACAGGGCUGGCAUCUCACCCUUGAGUUUCGUUUAAUACAUUCAUGUUUAUGAAUUGGCUUCGGUAUAUAUGUUCCAACCCAUUAAUUAUCUUUCAUUGCAUUUGGUGUUUUCUUUCUUUUUUCUUUUUAAGACCAUUCCAUCUUUCCUUAUUGCUUUCCUGAGUUAAUAAUCAUAUCUUGAGUGCUUAAUCCUUUAAUCCACUUUUUUUUUUUUUUUUUUUCUGUGACGCCAGUGCAUGCCAUUCCAGCCUUGCUUUUCAUUUGUCUAAACAUUUGAUUCUCUAUUGGUGUUCAUUUGUCUCAACAUUUGAUUCUCUAUUUUUUAUUUUUUUAUUUUUCUGUGAUGCCAGUACCUGCCUGCUCAGUUUAUUACUAAAAAAACUCCCUUUCAAAUUCAGAUUAUUGAAACCAACCAAGGUUCCAAACCCCGCCCUUCUUCAACCUCAGUUGCAGGAUCCUUGUAAUAGGUGCUGCUCCCGCUUCGAAUCAUGCUUCAGACUCGUGCUCAUGUCCCACUUCCUAGACAUAUACACUUGAUAACAUUUGCGGACAGACACCUCCCUGCUCCUACAUCUGAAUCUGUUGUCUCUCUUGCCUCACGCUUCGUG